CCCUGCCCCGGUACCGCGCCUCUGGGUGGAUCCCUAUCUCAGCGUUGCCGCAGGAUCUUCUAACUUUGAACCCCAGCCUCCGGCCUGGGCUGGAACUUGUCACCUGUCUCCUGCAAAUCUCAGGAUGUGGCCCUCAUCGCCCAAGAUUCAUGCUUCGAGGUUUUUGUAUGGUGUAAAUAGCAAACAAGACGGAUGGGACAUGUUUCAAUGGCUGGUAUUUAUUUUCACCGCACAGUGACCAAUCUUUGCAGCAAAUGUCACAGAAGGUUUCCAUUCAAUACCAUGGAAUUAUUUGUGACUCCAAACUCUGCUCGCUGAUAGCAAAGUCAAGGCUCACAUCUUUUUGCUGUGUCUGCUUUUCCUGGCUGGCUAUCUUCAGCUGGUGCUUCAACUUGUUUUCAACCAUCAAACCUCCUUUCCUCCAGAUGGCACCUCUCUUUGUACUGUGAUGCUCACGAUGAAUGACUACAGUAAGAAGACUAAGGACAAUGUCACCUCGCUGUACAAGAAAAACAACAGGCUGUCUGCUGCAACUCUUUUUCUUUGGAGUUUCCCAGGAACAUUUUUUUUUUCGUUCAUGGUCUGUCUCUCAAUUUUUAAAUGAUUCGUUGUCCUUUUGUUGAUGACAAAUCCAGAUAGCCCCCUCUGAUCUCUACGCUCAAAUUAUUUUAAGUCAGUCUGAAAUCAUUGUCUUUUAAUUGCAAGCUUCUCUGAGUAAUUAUUUUGUUGAGAGGCAAUCUUAGAUUAUGCGUUUCAGCAAUCCCAAUUUCUACUGUCGGUCAACCUUGACAUUUUUAGUAUCAUUUUAACAUAGUUAAACAAUUGGAUGUAAUUUUACUUGUUGUUAUAUUUAUGUUCCAUUAGCCACUAUGCUAUCAAAAGCAUGCCAUUUGAUGACCAUAUUGGGAUAUGUUGAUGGCAUCUACAGAAUUGGAUUGUGUGGUAUUAACGACAGUGCCUAUCAGGCCUUCAACCAUUCGUUUUCUCAAGUCUCAUCACAAACGGUGAAAGUGAUGCCUUGCUCCAAUCUGAUUUCAAACGAAAAUAAUGUUACUGAAAUAAACUGUCUGUGUAUGCUGUUAAGCAUAUUUUGUUCCUCUUGUGGUGCUGUGAAGUUUAAUUUGAAGCAUUGAGAGCCAGUCCUUGAGUCAUGACUCUGUACCAAACAGUGUUACAUACUUUCUC